ACGGGAGGCAGCAGUGGGGAAUAUUGGACAAUGGGGGAAACCCUGAUCCAGCGACGCCGCGUGAGUGAAGAAGUAUUUCGGUAUGUAAGGCUCUAUCAGCAGGGAAGAUGAUGACGGUACCUGACUAAGAAGCCCCGGCUAACUACGUGCCAGCAGCCGCGGUAAUACGUAGGGGGCAAGCGUUAUCCGGAUUUACUGGGUGUAAAGGGAGCGUAGACGGCUUUGCAAGUCUGAAGUGAAAGCCCGGGGCUCAACCCCGGAACUGCUUUGGAAACUGUAGAGCUGGAGUGCAGGAGAGGUAAGUGGAAUUCCUAGUGUAGCGGUGAAAUGCGUAGAUAUUAGGAGGAACACCAGUGGCGAAGGCGGCUUACUGGACUGUAACUGACGUUGAGGCUCAAAGGCGUGGGGAGCAAACAGGAUUAGAUACCCUGGUA
rnacentral:rRNA from 1 species